rnacentral:rRNA from 1 species
UCCUGGCUCAGAUUGAACGCUGGCGGCAGGCCUAACACAUGCAAGUCGAACGGUAACAGGAAGCAGCUUGCUGCUUGCUGACGAGUGGCGGACGGGUGAGUAAUGUCUGGGAAACUGCCCGAUGGAGGGGGAUAACUACUGGAAACGGUAGCUAAUACCGCAUAAUGUCGCAAGACCAAAGAGGGGGACCUUCGGGCCUCUUGCCAUCGGAUGUGCCCAGAUGGGAUUAGCUUGUUGGUGAGGUAACGGCUCACCAAGGCGACGAUCCCUAGCUGGUCUGAGAGGAUGACCAGCCACACUGGAACUGAGACACGGUCCAGACUCCUACGGGAGGCAGCAGUGGGGAAUAUUGCACAAUGGGCGCAAGCCUGAUGCAGCCAUGCCGCGUGUAUGAAGAAGGCCUUCGGGUUGUAAAGUACUUUCAGCGGGGAGGAAGGGGUUAAGGUUAAUAACCUUAGCCAUUGACGUUACCCGCAGAAGAAGCACCGGCUAACUCCGUGCCAGCCGCAGC